rnacentral:rRNA from 1 species
GACGAACGCUGGCGGCGUGCUUAACACAUGCAAGUCGAACGAAGAGCGACGGAAGCUUGCUUCUAUCAAUCUUAGUGGCGAACGGGUGAGUAACGCGUAAUCAACCUGCCCUUCAGAGGGGGACAACAGUUGGAAACGACUGCUAAUACCGCAUACGAUCUAACCUCGGCAUCGAGGAUAGAUGAAAGGUGGCCUCUACAUGUAAGCUAUCACUGAAGGAGGGGAUUGCGUCUGAUUAGCUAGUUGGAGGGGUAACGGCCCACCAAGGCGAUGAUCAGUAGCCGGUCUGAGAGGAUGAACGGCCACAUUGGGACUGAGACACGGCCCAGACUCCUACGGGAGGCAGCAGUGGGGAAUCUUCCGCAAUGGACGAAAGUCUGACGGAGCAACGCCGCGUGAGGGAUGACGGCCUUCGGGUUGUAAAGCUCUGUUAAUCGGGACGAAAGGCCUUCUUGCGAAUAGUGAGAAGGAUUGACGGUACCGGAAGAGAAAGCCACGGCUAACUACGUG